AAAGGCGAUCAUUUGGUAGUAGUCCUAGGUACUGAUUGGCUCUUGCGGUACAUGUGACAACAGUCCUCAUCUGCAUAUGGACAGGUACGUUAUGGUGGGCGUGGUAGAAAUGAUACCGGGCUGACACAGUGAAUGGAGUUCUAAGGAUAAUCGAGAAAUCUCCUAAGUAGCCCUCGGACAUCGCUAGUCUACACCAAGAGGACUACUGUUUCAUACCGCCCAUUGACUUCGGAAAAUAGCUCAUUGUAAUCAGUAGAGACAGGCACCCCUCACUGUCAGUCUGGCUGCUGUGUCCCCAUUGGUCCAGAUGUGAGAGCAGAGACCAGCAGUGUCACUUCUAACCCUCAGGGCCCGUCGUCAUGAAAAUGGUGUUGUCGUUACCAAGGCCGUCGUGGGGGUUGUGGUCUGUGUUAGUCCCAGGUCUGGCCCUAUUGCUGUGUCUGGCCCUGGCCCUGAUGGGCUGUGUGAUCAGGAAGAAGAGAAGGACGGAGGGAAUGUAUCGGCCCAGUGCGGAGGAGAGCAAACAGACAAGACCACGGGGGGCUGAGAGACCAGGCCUGCCCCUGCCCAAGGAGGAGAGACUCAUCUGAUACGCGCACUCUAGCCUGGACGCUGCACACACACACACAUAAACUCUCUCUUUUCCUCCCUCUCUCUGUCACUACCAUUGCCUCACUCUCCUCUACCCUGUACAUGAAGCCAGAAUGGGUUAUUGGUAACAAUGUUUUGUAUGUAUUGUGUAAAGGUAUCUGUAUAUGAAAUGUCUUGUUAAAUAUGGCAGAACAUGCCUGGUGGAUGUUCCAUGUUCUCUCCAGUUUCUCCAACUGUGUUGAUGUUGUCAUCCGUGUGUCAACAGGUGAAUGCCCUGUCAGGGGAGUGUUGUUUACCUGUCGGUGGACUAGUUGUUGACAUGUUUACCUGUAGGUGGACUAGUUGUUGACAUGUUUACCUGUCGGUGGACUAGUUGUUGACAUGUUUACCUGUCGGUGGACUAGUUGUUGACAUGUUUACCUGUCGGUGGACCAGUUGUUGACAUGUUUACCUGUCGGUGGACCAGUUGUUGACAUGUUUACCUGUCGGUGGACUAGUUGUUGACAUGUUUACCUGUCGGUGGACCAGUUGUUGACAUGUUUACCUGUCGGUGGACUAGUUGUUGACAUGUUUACCUGUCGGUGGACUAGUUGUUGAUUAGGUCAGUCAUACAGAGAAAAGGGAAUUUAAAAGUUCCUCUAUAUGCAAACGUCUUUCUUUAUUAUGCCAGUUAUACUGUUACAUGUAUACAAACCAGGAUUUAAGUUUAUCCCUUGUAUAAAACAUUAGUGUGUGUGGGUGUGUGUGUUUUUAUAUCUUGAAAAUGACGAGGAUGGUGAGUAAGACACUAUGAAUGAUUUCUAAUGCACUUCUGAUGAUAUUAUCCAUGUGAAAAAAAUAAAACUCCUCUCAAAAAGUAUAAAACUUCCAUUUAUUCAGUGCAUUUAAUAUCAUCCAGGAGAAAAAUAUUUGAUUUAGUAAAAAAAAAAAAAGAUCUUCAAGUGUGUAUUCAGUGCAUUGAGUUAAUGUAUUUAUGUUCCACAAGCCCCACCUGCUGGUCAUCUAAGGACAAUACAGCCAGCGACAUCAGUCAGAGGGAUCGGACAGAACUGGAUCCUGGAUGUCAUGUAACAUGAUCACGGGUGUAUUCAGCAGUGGUGUAAAGUACUACCUAAGUCGUUUUUUUUGGUAUCCCCACAUUACUUUAUUAUUUUUGACAACUUUACUUCACUAUAUUCUUUAAGAAAAUAAUGUACUUUUUACUCCAUACAUUUUCCCUGUCACCCAAAUGUACUUGUUACAUUUUGACAGGAAAAU